rnacentral:rRNA from 1 species
UAGGGAAUCUUCCACAAUGGACGCAAGUCUGAUGGAGCAACGCCGCGUGUGUGAUGAAGGGUUUCGGCUCGUAAAACACUGUUGUAAGAGAAGAAUGACAUUGAGAGUAACUGUUCAAUGUGUGACGGUAUCUUACCAGAAAGGAACGGCUAAAUACGUGCCCG